rnacentral:lncRNA from 1 species
UGCUUUGAAAAGGACAUGUGAGCAGAAUCUGGAACACUCUGGUUGUGUUUCUCAUGACAUCAAGAAGGCAGUGUGAUCUCUAUAUGUAAGAUUGAUGCGUGUUUGAGCAACAAGAACACAACUACACCUGCCUUUUAUGAGCCAUCAGCAGCUGACUUUGUCCAGGUGAUCCUUGUGACUUUUUUCUCAUCAGGGUCUAAUUUCAGCCAAGCAGCACCUAGCAGCUCCACCAUAGAUCAAGAUUCUCUGCUGUUCCCUAUAUUUCAUGGUGUCAGGACAAUGACAGCCACAGUCCGCAGAGCUGUCACUGGAGCUGCUGCUGUCAGCCUGCAUUCUGCAGGGUUGUGCUCUGCCUUAAAUUAACAUUACGUUCUGGUGGUGCCCAGCACUCAGAAUUUUCCUGUUAUCUAAGUGAUCUCUGCAUGCUUUUUUUUUACCUCAUCCAUCAUGCUGUCACUGCACCGCUUUCACUUCUGCCAUUAAACCAUAUUUGCUUUACUCUGUGGUUUGUUUGUUUAUUUUAAACAUGGGAUUUCUUUUGUCAUGUUCUUUUUCUUUCUUUUUCUGUAGUAAUUCAGUUGCUUCUUGAGAUCCACAGCUUAAAAAAAAAAAAUUAAUCCCUGUAACUUAGGUUAGAAUCAUAGAAUAGAAUCAUCGAAUCCUGAGAGUUGGAAGGGACCUCUGAAGGCCAUCUAGUCCAACUCCCCUGCAAUGAACAUGGGCAUCCAUGAAUCAGGUUGUGCAGAGCCUGGCCUUGAAAGUUUCUAAGGAUGGAGCAUCCAUCACACCUCUGAGCAACCUGUUCCACUGCCUCACCACUCUCACUGUAAGAGACUUUUUCCUUAUAUCCAACCUAAAUCUACCCUUUUUAAACUUGUAAUCAUUUGUAUUAGUUCCAUCAACACAGUCCUUGCAAAGGGUCCGUCCCCUUCUUUCCUGUACCUUCUUUCCUGUAGCUUCCUUUUAGAUGUUGAAAGGUGCUACCAGAUCACCUCGGAGACUUCUUGUCUCCAGGCUGCACAGCCC